GGGACUUACCGGGCUGCGCUCCCACCCCAUCACCAUGCUGGGUCCGCUGGGAAUCUGCGUUUUCCUGCUUGGCCUCUCCGGGGCCCGGGCACAGGUGGUUCUCACCCAGUCCGGCCCGGAGAUUAAGAAACCCGGAGAAUCCACCAAACUGACCUGUGCGGUGAGCGGCUUUGAUCUCAGCAGCUAUAGCAUGUACUGGGUCCGACAGGCUCCGGGAAAGGGGCUGGAGUGGCUGAUUUAUUAUUAUUCAUCGUCUGACAACAGCUACUCCCCGACAAUCCAGGGCCGAUUCACGGCCUCCAAGGACAGCUCCAAUUUCUACCUGCACAUGACGGGCCUGAAAGCGGAGGACACCGCCCGGUAUUACUGUGCGAGACACAGCGAGGAGAAGCCGGGCUGA